AAAAAAAAAACUCUUAUGCCUAUGUGAGUGUAGAGAAGUUCGUCAAACAAAUACAGUUAUACACGUUCAUUGUAUGGAGGAAAUGGCAAAUACUCAAAACAUAAAUUAUUGCCCAUCUUGUUUCGCUAAAUAUCCAUUACGAAGACAGCGCCAAACAGUAUCAAAUCUUCGGAACGUUCAUGACGCUUUUCUUAUGAUAAUAGUUAUGUUAGUUAUAUAUUUAAUACUUGGUGGUCUAUUGAUUUUGUUGGUAAAAGGCCGGAAUACUCAUCCGUUAUCCAUUUUUAUGAAAAUCGUCGCCAUAUUCGUAUAUGUUUUGUUUAUUUUUGCGUCAAGACAUAACAUAACUGACAGUUAUGAGAGUACAUAUCAAUUUAUUCGUCAAUGGGCCAGAGGCA